rnacentral:rRNA from 1 species
UACGUAGGGAGCAAGCGUUGUCCGGAAUCAUUGGGCGUAAAGCGCGCGUAGGUGGCUUCGUAAGUCCGUUGUGAAAGUCGAAGGCUCAACCUUUGAAAGCCGAUGGAUACUGCGGAGCUAGAGUACGGAAGAGGCGAGUGGAAUUCCUGGUGUAGCGGUGGAAUGCGCAGAUAUCAGGAGGAACACCAAUAGCGAAGGCAGCUCGCUGGGACGUUACUGACACUGAGGCGCGAAAGCGUGGGGAGCGAACAGG